CUUUUGCAUCAUUAAUAAAAUAAUUUCUUCUCCACACUGAAAAAAGUGAUUUUUGCGAGUGUUAAAUAUGAUCCAUAAAAAUGAGGUAAAUUUUAAUGUAUUUUUUCAGGUAGCCAAUGAUUGAAGAAAUGUUGGGUAAUUUCUACAUGUGCUACCCAUUCGUUAACAUUAAAAACUACUAGAUAGGAAAUUACAGUAAAAUCUACCCCCCAUUCUUAAGUCCGGUGCUCCAAAGUUGCGCAUGCGUCAGACCGCGUUUUUGAAAGAGAAGCGGGACAAGGAACUCUGCAUCCUCUCUGCCAUCGAACCGGGAGCUGAAGGUAAGAUAUUAAUAUAGUUGUUCUGUGAAUGAUAGCACGAAUGCAAAUUCUAAAAUUACAAAUGAUUAGAUACUUCACUUAUAUUCGAUGUGCAUCUCUGUAACAUGCCAAUACUGUACAUCAAAAUUUGAAUUUUUCCAUGGCGCCAACAUGGCCGUUAACUGUCUGGACAACAACAGGUAGUUUUAAUUUGUUCGCGGUGCUUUUGAGAUUAGCCAGCAUGCAUGACUGUUUGUUACCGCUGGUUUUAAGGUUAGAAACUAGUCUAACGCUAAAGCUGAACUUUUGCCGGUGUGGUUAAGUUAUAACGGUCGUUAAGUAUCUGCAGGUCUCUGCUCCCACGUCACGCUGCACCGAGACACAGGCACAAAUAAUUUGCUGAACAAUUCAUUAGUGUAUUUUCGCCGCACAUGAGAAGUUCCGUCUUAAAAUACUAAUAGUAAUAUGUCGCCAACAUAUGAAAUGCCUGCCGUGUUUUAUAUUGUUGACCUGUUAGCUAACAUGGCUGCUGGAGUCGCUCUCCGCCGCGGUCUGUUUAAAAACAACAUGAUUUUCUCUCCAGUUCACCUGCAUGUCUGCGUACGUGUGUCUAUGUUGUGAAAGUUUAGCGUUACUUCUCAUAGUUUUAUAAUUUUUCUUCCCAUCAAGAAACAUUCAUGUGAAGACCAUGAGAUCUGGUUUUUCAUUUAAAAUUUGAUUUUUGUCCUUUUAUGUCCUAGAUCAAGGAAGAGUUCAGACUUAUCGACAGUUUCCUUGGAGGAGACAUUCAUGCUAAAGCUUGAUGAGAACACACCAGGUCUUCUGCAGCUUAUGCUGCUAAACGAGGGGCUGCUGGUUCAAAGAUGCACCUUCUGCUGGACACUUUAAAUGACCCACAGAGCAUUGAGGAAAAAAGGGAUACAGUUGUCUGCUGCCUCAUUAACUACAGGAAUGUGAGGACCACACAGACAAAACAAUGAAGGUGAUCGUGAUGCACACAUCAUGGCUGAGGAGGAUCCAUCAGAUUGUGAUUGAGGGAAACCAAGUGAUGGAAGGAUGUGGAAGCCGAACAAAGGCAUGUGUACUGCUGAUGGGACUCAUAUUUGCCCUGAACCUGGACUAUCCAAAGCAGCUCAAGAACACAUUUGAAGCUUUUCAAAAACUUUUUUUGGAAAUUGAUGGGGCAAAACUACUGAAGAAGGUCCACAGUCUGAAGAACAAGCUCAAGGCAUACAUUUUCCGUCUUGUUCCAAGAGGAUCUUUUGUCUGGACAGAGUUUUAAGGUAGUAUAGCUUUUUUUUAUUAGUGUUCUGUUCUGUCCUCUGCUCCACACACAGACACAGACAUAUAUGUGGAUACAUAAGUACGUUGCAGCCUCUCUCAGCCCACUCCAUUGUUCUCUGAUUUCUGAAAAUGGAAAAACAAUGUAAACUGGACAGUCUGGUCAUUAACACUGACUGAAUUCUGACAAAUUUAAAAAUCACCUCUUUCCCAAUUUCGUUGUUUCUGUUAUUGUCAUUCUACCUGAAUGAGUGCAACUAUAUUAACUGAAGACUGUUGAUUUUCUGAUCUGUUUUCA